rnacentral:rRNA from 1 species
AUGGUAUGGCUGUUGGGGUCGAUGGAGAAGAUCGUGAGGGAACAAGUUGAAGGGUUUCAGUCUGCAGCUAAGGUGUGGACGAGCAUUGAGAAACAGUUCUCAGGGAAAUCGAACAAGAUGCAAGCUAGUAGGAUUUUCCAUGAAUUGAGGCAGAUCAAGCAAGAGCAGAAGACAGUGACCGGAUUUGCGGGAGAAAUCAAGAAACUCUACAGAGACCUGGAGUAUUUUAGACCAUUUAAGGCACAUGAUCCCAGGGACAUACCCCUCCUUCGAGAGUGGUUUGAACCAUUGUUGGUUCAGACUUUUCUUGAUGGUCUGAACUCAGAGUUCAAUCUCCGUUCCCAGCUCAUACAAGCCACACUAGAUAGGCCUACAUUGGAUCAGGCCAUCUCUAGUAUACUGGAGGAAGAAACACAGUUGGCCAAUCAGAUCACAACUUCACAAACAAAUGUUGAUGGCAGAGCUGCACUAUCUUCGGUUAAGCAAAUUUAG